AAUAUUGCGCAAUGGAGGAAACUCUGACGCAGCAACGCCGCGUGAAGGAUGAAGGUUUNCGGAUUNUNAACUUCUUUGAUCGGGGNAGAAAAUGACGGUACCCGAGGAACAAGCCACGGCUAACUACGUGCCAGCAGCCGCGGUAAUACGUAGGUGGCAAGCGUUGUCCGGAAUUACUGGGCGUAAAGGGCGUGUAGGCGGGUGAACAAGUCAGAUGUGGAAUUCCAGGGCUUAACUCUGGCGCUGCAUCUGAAACUGUUCAUCUUGAGUGCUGGAGAGGAAAGUGGAAUUCCCAGUGUAGCGGUGAAAUGCGUAGAGAUUGGGAGGAACACCAGUGGCGAAGGCGGCUUUCUGGACAGUAACUGACGCUGAGGCGCGAAAGCGUGGGGAGCAAACAGG
rnacentral:rRNA from 1 species